rnacentral:lncRNA from 1 species
UGGAAAGGUAGCAGGAAGGAACAGUGUCACCCAGUACAAAUGUCAAACACUGGAUCCUGGUGUAAUUAAAGCUGGGCCCUCAGAGAUGUGGCAGAGGCUUACAAUGGUGCCACCACCCUGUACAUUACUCACCUGGUGCCUGUCAGGUGACACCUCAGCGUGAACAGGAAUAUCGCCUGACACCAUAGAAACACUGUCCUCUGAUUCAGGACUCACCAAUGGGGAAGUUAAAAAUUAACCAUGGCAUUUAUGCUACCCCUACGCACACCUUCAGACUUCAGAAAUGUCUCCUGGCAGAGGCCUCUUUGGCCUGAUGGUACUGUACCCUUCAUAGAGUUAUUAUUUUAUGGUUUUAUUUUUUCAUAGCAAACAGCAACACUAUUUCUGAACUGUGGCUGUUUCUACAGAAAGGCUGAGUAGUAGGGCCAAGGCUAUCUUUUGCCCAGUGUCCUGGGACUCUGGGGUAUUGUGAUAGCCCCAGAAAGUGAGCAGCCCUUCAGUGACUGGACUUCUAGAAUCUGCCUCGCCUGCCCUCCAGCUUCCCUGAGCCCCUUCUGACCAGGGUUAUGUUUACUUCCUCACAGCCACUUUUACUUCUAGGUCUUCAGGAGGCUCCAAGACCAGCAGGCAUAUAAGCAAAACGGAACAUAGACACUGGAAGCAACUUUCCUGUGUUAGUAAGCCAGCAGCAUCCUCACACCAUGCGACUUUACAACAACUGCUGCCCUAUCCUCAGAGCCUCUGCCCGGCAUGGACUGGGGCACUCAGAAUGGUAUCCCUUGAUAUAAUGCAUAUACGAUGGCACUGUCUACCACCUCCUCAUGCCUAAACAUUUCUCAGUUUUCAGAUUUAGAGUCUCAAAACUGUUUCCACAGUAUUGAACUCCCAGUUUUCUAAACCCCAACACGUUUCUUUCUUGAUCACGGAUCGUCUUUUCGGAUGACAGCAUCCUGGCUUGAAUCCAGAGCAAAAAACCAUUGAAGUCAAAUUAAAACAUAAUUUUAUGAUGACAAAUUUAUUAAAGUUAAUAAUUCAACUCACU